AGAGGCGAAGGGGAAGAGCCCAAGUAGCAGCACACCAGCACCGACCUUGAGUGAAUCAUGGAUGAAUCGUAACUUCGGCAACGGCGAAAGUUUUUAUUUCAUGUGUUUUUUGGACAAAAGGUAGCAACGCAUGUGUUCAAAGAAGACAUUACGAAGAUUUAACUCACCGCACACGAAUUAUAAUAUCUCGAAGAUGAAUUUCCAUGUACUCGUGGAGGUGGAUUGAAGAUAACGCUUU